CAACAACAGCAGCAGCAGAACCAUCAAACAAAUGGACCUCUAUGGAAAUAAAUCCAUCUACAAAUAUCAACAACUUAUCAGAAUUUCAUGGUUGGUGUUGGUCGUUCAUCAUUCGUCCCGUUUGUUUGGCAGUGAUGAUAAUAACUGUUCUGGUGAUCAGCAGAUGGAAGAAAACAAAAGGAAAUAAAUCAACAGAAGAAGAAUAAAGUCAAGUGAGUGAAUCACUGAAUAAUUACAUACUUGUUUCAACUG